GCGAUACAGGGUGACAGCCCCGUACACAAAAAUGCACAUGCUGUGAGCUCGAUGAGUAGGGCGGGACACGUGGUAUCCUGUCUGAAUAUGGGGGGACCAUCCUCCAAGGCUAAAUACUCCUGACUGACCGAUAGUGAACCAGUACCGUGAGGGAAAGGCGAAAAGAACCCCGGCGAGGGGAGUGAAAAAGAACCUGAAACCGUGUACGUACAAGCAGUGGGAGCCUCUUAAUGGGGUGACUGCGUACCUUUUGUAUAAUGGGUCAGCGACUUAUAUUCUGUAGCAAGGUUAACCGAAUAGGGGAGCCGAAGGGAAACCGAGUCUUAACUGGGCGUUAAGUUGCAGGGUAUAGACCCGAAACCCGGUGAUCUAGCCAUGGGCAGGUUGAAGGUUGGGUAACACUAACUGGAGGACCGAACCGACUAAUGUUGAAAAAUUAGCGGAUGACUUGUGGCUGGGGGUGAAAGGCCAAUCAAACCGGGAGAUAGCUGGUUCUCCCCGAAAGCUAUUUAGGUAGCGCCUCGUGAAUUCAUCUCCGGGGGUAGAGCACUGUUUCGGCAAGGGGGUCAUCCCGACUUACCAACCCGAUGCAAACUGCGAAUACCGGAGAAUGUUAUCACGGGAGACACACGGCGGGUGCUAACGUCCGUCGUGAAGAGGGAAACAACCCAGACCGCCAGCUAAGGUCCCAAAGUCAUGGUUAAGUGGGAAACGAUGUGGGAAGGCCCAGACAGCCAGGAUGUUGGCUUAGAAGCAGCCAUCAUUUAAAGAAAGCGUAAUAGCUCACUGGUCGAGUCGGCCUGCGCGGAAGAUGUAACGGGGCUAAACCAUGCACCGAAGCUGCGGCAGCGACACUAUGUGUUGUUGGGUAGGGGAGCGUUCUGUAAGCCUGUGAAGGUGUGCUGUGAGGCAUGCUGGAGGUAUCAGAAGUGCGAAUGCUGACAUAAGUAACGAUAAAGCGGGUGAAAAGCCCGCUCGCCGGAAGACCAAGGGUUCCUGUCCAACGUUAAUCGGGGCAGGGUGAGUCGACCCCUAAGGCGAGGCCGAAAGGCGUAGUCGAUGGGAAACAGGUUAAUAUUCCUGUACUUGGUGUUACUGCGAAGGGGGGACG
rnacentral:rRNA from 1 species